GCCCCGGUAGCUCAGACUGGUUAGAGCGCCGGCUUGGUAAGCCGGAGGUCGCGGGUUCAAAGCCCGCCCGGGGCU
rnacentral:tRNA from 1 species